GAUGAACGCUAGCGGUGUGCCUAAUGCAUGCAAGUCGAACGGUAACUUUUGGAUUCGUCUGAAAGUGAGAGUGGCGAACGGGUGAGUAACACGUAGGUGACCUGCCCCGGAGAGGGGGACAACCACUGGAAACGGUGGCUAAUACCCCGGAUGUCUCACAACUUAGAAAUGUGAGACUAAAGUUCCGGCGCUCCGGGAGGGGCCUGCGGCCCAUCAGCUAGUUGGUAAGGUAAUGGCUUACCAAGGCAAAGACGGGUAGGGGGCGUGAGAGCGUGACCCCCCACACUGGUACUGAGACACGGACCAGAUACCUGCGGGUAGCAGCAGCAAGGAAUAUUGCCCAAUGGACGCAAGUCUGAGGCAGCAACACCGCGUGGAGGAUGAAGGCCUUCGGGUUGUAAACUCCUUUUCUGGGUGAAGAGAAAGGACGGUAACCCAGGAAUAAGUCUCGGCUAACUACGUGCCAGCAGCCGCGGUAAAACGUAGGAGGCGAGCGUUAUCCGGAAUUACUGGGCGUAAAGCGCAUGUAGGCGGCAUUUUAAGUCGGACGUGAAAGCUCCUGGCUCAACUAGGAGAGGCCGUUCGAAACUGAAAAGCUUGAGGUUGGUAGAGGUGAGUGGAAUUCCCGGUGUAGUGGUGAAAUGCGUAGAUAUCGGGAAGAACAUCGGUGGCGAAGGCGGCUCGCUGGGCCUCAUCUGACGCUGAAGCGCGAAAGCGUGGGGAGCAAACAGGAUUAGAUACCCUGGUAGUCCACGCCGUAAACGAUGGGUACUANGUGUUGGGAGGAUUGACCCUUUCAGUGCCGACGCUAACGC
rnacentral:rRNA from 1 species